rnacentral:lncRNA from 1 species
AAUAUACAGAAAUGCGCGAGGCGGUGGUUGGUUUUCGUUUCUUCUUGGUGGUUGUGGGCAUGCAGUGGAAUUGUUGAGAGUGCGUGUGUGAGCUAUGGACAGUGUUGACUUCUGAGUGUGGUCUUCCAGGCGACAGGUUGUGUGUCCCAAGUGUGAUGGUGCUUGUGCUGUUCGGUGUAUAGAUUUGGAUUCUCCGAGGCCCUUCUGCGUUUUCAUCGUUGUAGAUACAAUUAUGCUCGUUUGCCUUCUCGACAUGCUGGAAGCUGAGCAGCGUUCGCGGAGGCCCGCGCCUUCAAGCCGGUAGCCGCCAGCUUCGGUUCCCGCGGCACUCAGGCUUCGUCCAUUUCUGACCGCCCAGGACCACACCGCGGCCUAACUGGCCUAACUGCCGGGCUCUCGGUGAGAGACGGGGAGAGCAAAGACCCCGGUCCACAACCUGGACCUCGACUCCCACCUCUCUCUGGCCGGAGGAGUGGAGAUCCUAUUCAGAGGGGCCCGUCUCUCUAAAUAUGCCCCAGGAUGACGGAGCAGCCGCCGAGCGAGGCGGCACAC